rnacentral:rRNA from 1 species
GCGUAAAGAGCUCGUAGGUGGUUUGUCGCGUUGUUCGUGAAAUCUCACGGCUUAACUGUGAGCGUGCGGGCGAUACGGGCAGACUUGAGUACUGCAGGGGAGACUGGAAUUCCUGGUGUAGCGGUGGAAUGCGCAGAUAUCAGGAGGAACACCGGUGGCGAAGGCGGGUCUCUGGGCAGUAACUGACGCUGAGGAGCGAAAGCGUGGGGAGCGAACAGGAUUAGAUACCCUGGUAGUCCACGCCGUAAACGGUGGGUACUAGGUGUGGGUUUCCUUCCUUGGGAUCCGUGCCGUAGCUAACGCAUUAAGUACCCCGCCUGGGGAGUACGGCCGCAAGGCUAAAACUCAAAGAAAUUGACGGGGGCCCGCACAAGCGGCGGAGCAUGUGGAUUAAUUCGAUGCAACGCGAAGAACCUUACCUGGGUUUGACAUGCACAGGACGCCGGCAGAGAUGUCGGUUCCCUUGUGGCCUGUGUGCAGGUGGUGCAUGGCUGUCGUCAGCUCGUGUCGUGAGAUGUUGGGUUAAGUCCCGCAACGAGCGCAACCCUUGUCUCAUGUUGCCAGCGGGUAAUGCCGGGGACUCGUGAGAGACUGCCGGGGUCAACUCGGAGGAAGGUGGGGAUGACGUCAAGUCAUCAUGCCUCUUAUGUCCAGGGCUUCACACAUGCUACAAUGGCCGGUACAAAGGGCUGCGAUGCCGCGAGGUUAAGCGAAUCCUUUUAAAGCCGGUCUCAGUUCGGAUCGGGGUCUGCAACUCGACCCCGUGAAGUCGGAGUCGCUAGU